GACAGAGGGGGCAAGCGUUGCUCGGAAUCACUGGGCGUAAAGGGCGCGUAGGCGGGAUGGCAAGUCGGUCGUGAAAUCCUUCGGCUCAACCGAAGAACGUCGGCCGAUACUGCCGUUCUUGAGGGAUGCAGAGGAGAUUGGAAUUCCUGGUGUAGCGGUGAAAUGCGCAGAUAUCAGGAGGAACACCGGUGGCGAAGGCGGGUCUCUGGGCCGAUACUGACGCUGAGGAGCGAAAGCUAGGGGAGCAAACAGG
rnacentral:rRNA from 1 species